GUCUAUGGCAAUGUCACCCUGAACACGACCGAUCUUGUCUGAUCUUGGAAGCUAAGCAGGGUUGGGCCUGGUUAGUACUUGGAUG
rnacentral:rRNA from 1 species